rnacentral:tRNA from 1 species
UGGAUGGGUGUCCGAGUGGCCGAAGGAGCAGCACUGGAAAUGCUGUGUACGGGUAAUCCCCGUACCGCGGGUUCGAAUCCCGCCCCAUCCGCUUG